GCGAUCUGAUUUGCUCAUUGUGCUUCAGUGAAGGGAAACCACAUGGAACCAAGUGCAUCUAGACUGGCAAAGCAUUUGCCACUUUGGACUAGGGCCAACCGGGAGAGAAGCAAUGACCUCACUUUGGGGGCACGUUGAUAAGCAAAACUUUCACCAUGAAAAAUAUUCUCUCCAAAGUUAGUGCUGUUCUGUCUAAGCAAAAGGACGUAUCCUUCCUUUCUGUCAAUAAGUGAUAAGGCUCCUCGGGUGCGCACGGAGACCGAGAACUUUGGGGGUUUUGCUGAAUGUGGAGAUGUCGCUGCUACUGCUGCUGCUGCUGCCGUUGAGACUGUUUCUUGUUCUAAAGGCCCAGUUAAUUACAAAGUAAAAGUAUGAAAAUAAAAUAAAUGAGCCUCCUCGGCUGGGAACCCCAUCUCCAUCCCAUUCUGGGAGCUGUCAAUUGGUUUUCCUAUUCCCACACUCGAUAUCGGCUGUUAAUUUGCUUGCGAUUUCGAGAGCUUGAAGACUGUCAGCAAAAUCUAUGAUGCAUUACAGAACUUAUAAUUGGAAAUAAAAAUGCCGGAUGCUUUUGUGACAGGAUAGACACCAAGACCGAAUGUACGCGCUGAUCAGAAUGGGUAGACACUAACAACCUUAGAGCUAUUUGUAGGCAAACAUAAUUAUGAACGCCACCAAGGAGCUGGCUGGCAGUCACAGUUUCGGCUCCUACGAUGAAAAUAAAUGCAUACAAAAUGAUAUCAAGAGAUGGAAUGACCGGGGAUUUUUCAGAAUACAGAGCUAGGGGUGGAGGGGGACAAAGAGAGGGAACCCAGCUUUUGCCUCUUUCGCCAAUGAAAGCCACCAGUCAUUCUGUGGCAGCUUUUUGGUCAUUUCAGAAUUGGGCUCCCUCACUAUUGCCAGGCUGUAUUUCUUGCUGCAGAAGCAAAGACCCUUCUUUCCAGGGUCACUAAAUCAAACAAAUUAAACCCAGGGCCACUCGGAUACAUGCGAAAGUAAGCUGCUUGUUCCCGAAUCUCUCUAUCACCCUAUAGAUCAAAUGCCUAGGGAUUGGAAAACCCCACUAGUGUUCAUUAAAAGCUACGGAAGGUCAUUUUGUGUUUCUGUUUGAAAAGGGAAAAGGGGCAGGAUCCCGCCAAAAAAUAUUCUUAUUUCUGCUAGGGGAGUGAGUUUCUUUUUUUAAUUUAUUUUAAUUGUAGCUCAGAAGCAUACGACCGAUUACAGCAUGUCACAGUAGGAAAGAUCUUGGACUUGUAUCGGGAAGAUCUGGGACUGUGUUCCAGGUCUGCCAUUUGCUAUGUUGGCGCUUAAGAGGUACAGUAAACAGACAGACAUGAAAUAAGGAAGCGUUUAGUUCCAUUUUGGGUGUCUGAAGAAAUGCUGGGUCAAACAUUAUAAGUGUGGAUAGAUGCAAAUAGAACAAUCACUCCUCCCUGUCCCCCUCCACCCAAAAAAACCCCUAAACAUUGUAAUUUUUAUGACCAAGUCUCAGUCCAUAGAGCAGAUGAGAAAAUAGACUUCCCUUCCUGCCUUGUAGAUAUAGGAGCACAUAAGAGGAUAUGACUUUAAUUAUGCUGUGAGACGUAUGUUGGUCAGUUUUAGAGAUUGGUUUUUUUCUUCCUUUUAAAAAUUCUUUGUUAUAAGGGAUGGCUCACUGGAAGGGGAGAAAUAUAUUUGGAAAUAAAACAAAAAUAUCAAUAAAAUUUUUGAAAAAAUAAAAUAA